ensembl:lncRNA
CCGGAACAACCACUCUUGGAGGUGUUCAGGCCAGUUUUGGUUAGUUCUGCUAUUAUGGUGUCUGUCAGUGUUUUAGCAUCUCCUGCAUUGGCCAUUGCUAUAGUAAGAAGGAUUUCUGUUGCUUGGUUUUCUACAGAUACAAACCGAAUUACAAUAGAUAGGUUUUCACAGCCUGUCGGUUCCCGGGUGCCGUCAACAUUUAUGAAAUCGAGACUCAUCAGACCAGGCAACAUUCUUCCAGUCUUCAACUGUCCAAUUUUGUACAGCUUCUGUUGCUUGGGAUGCAGUUUCAAUUCAUGAAUUUGGACGAUACUAAUACCCAGUUGCAUCAGAGGUGAAUAACGACUCCAUGGGCC